AGUGAACGCUGGCGGUAGGCCUAACACAUGCAAGUCGAACGGCAGCACAGUAAGAGCUUGCUCUUACGGGUGGCGAGUGGCGGACGGGUGAGGAAUACAUCGGAAUCUACUUUUUCGUGGGGGAUAACGUAGGGAAACUUACGCUAAUACCGCAUACGACCUACGGGUGAAAGCAGGGGAUCUUCGGACCUUGCGCGAGUGAAUGAGCCGAUGUCGGAUUAGCUAGUUGGCGGGGUAAAGGCCCACCAAGGCGACGAUCCGUAGCUGGUCUGAGAGGAUGAUCAGCCACACUGGAGCUGAGACACGGUCCAGACUCCUACGGGAGGCAGCAGUGGGGAAUAUUGGACAAUGGGCGCAAGCCUGAUCCAGCCAUACCGCGUGGGUGAAGAAGGCCUUCUGGUUGUAAAGCCCUUUUGUUGGGAAAGAAAAGCAGCAGGUUAAUACCCCGCUGUUCUGACGGUACCCAAAGAAUAAGCACCGGCUAACUUCGUG
rnacentral:rRNA from 1 species